GGUUAAGCGACUAAGCGUACACGGUGGAUGCCCUGGCAGUCAGAGGCGAUGAAGGGCGUGCUAAUCUGCGAUAAGCGCCGGUAAGGUGAUAUGAACCGUUAUAACCGGCGAUACCCGAAUGGGGAAACCCAGUGUGAUUCGUCACACUAUCAUUAACUGAAUCCAUAGGUUAAUGAGGCGAACCGGGGGAACUGAAACAUCUAAGUACCCCGAGGAAAAGAAAUCAACCGAGAUUCCCCCAGUAGCGGCGAGCGAACGGGGAGGAGCCCAGAGCCUGAAUCAGCAUGUGUGUUAGUGGAAGCGUCUGGAAAGGCGCGCGAUACAGGGUGACAGCCCCGUACACAAAAGCGCAUGUGCUGUGAGCUCGAUGAGUAGGGCGGGACACGUGGUAUCCUGUCUGAAUAUGGGGGGACCAUCCUCCAAGGCUAAAUACUCCUGACUGACCGAUAGUGAACCAGUACCGUGAGGGAAAGGCGAAAAGAACCCCGGCGAGGGGAGUGAAAAAGAACCUGAAACCGUGUACGUACAAGCAGUGGGAGCCCCACCACCAAAGCAUUUGCUGUACCGCGUUGACGGAGCGAAGCGACGUCAAACCGAUAAAACAGCAGUGUAAAGUGAGCCGCAGGGCGCUUUGCGCGACAGCGCAAAGGCAGGCGGUUUCGCGUAGCGAAAGCGAAUGCUUUGGGGUGGGGUGACUGCGUACCUUUUGUAUAAUGGGUCAGCGACUUAUAUUCUGUAGCAAGGUUAACCGAAUAGGGGAGCCGGAGGGAAACCGAGUCUUAAUUGGGCGUUAAGUUGCAGGGUAUAGACCCGAAACCCGGUGAUCUAGCCAUGGGCAGGUUGAAGGUUGGGUAACACUAACUGGAGGACCGAACCGACUAAUGUUGAAAAAUUAGCGGAUGACCUGUGGCUGGGGGUGAAAGGCCAAUCAAACCGGGAGAUAGCUGGUUCUCCCCGAAAGCUAUUUAGGUAGCGCCUCGUGAAUUCAUCUCCGGGGGUAGAGCACUGUUUCGGCUAGGGGGCCAUCCCGGCUUACCAACCCGAUGCAAACUGCGAAUACCGGAGAAUGUUAUCACGGGAGACACACGGCGGGUGCUAACGUCCGUCGUGAAGAGGGAAACAACCCAGACCGCCAGCUAAGGUCCCAAAGUCAUGGUUAAGUGGGAAACGAUGUGGGAAGGCCCAGACAGCCAGGAUGUUGGCUUAGAAGCAGCCAUCAUUUAAAGAAAGCGUAAUAGCUCACUGGUCGAGUCGGCCUGCGCGGAAGAUGUAACGGGGCUAAACCAUGCACCGAAGCUGCGGCAGCGACACUGUGUGUUGUUGGGUAGGGGAGCGUUCUGUAAGCCUGUGAAGGUGUGUCGUGAGGCAUGCUGGAGGUAUCAGAAGUGCGAAUGCUGACAUAAGUAACGAUAAAGCGGGUGAAAAGCCCGCUCGCCGGAAGACCAAGGGUUCCUGUCCAACGUUAAUCGGGGCAGGGUGAGUCGACCCCUAAGGCGAGGCCGAAAGGCGUAGUCGAUGGGAAACGGGUUAAUAUUCCCGUACUUGGUGUUACUGCGAAGGGGGGACGGAGAAGGCUAUGUUGGCCGGGCGACGGUUGUCCCGGUUUAAGCGUGUAGGUGUGUGUUCCAGGUAAAUCCGGUUCACUUUAACACUGAGGCGUGACGACGAGGCACUACGGUGCUGAAGCAACAAAUGCCCUGCUUCCAGGAAAAGCCUCUAAGCAUCAGGUAACAUCAAAUCGUACCCCAAACCGACACAGGUGGUCAGGUAGAGAAUACCAAGGCGCUUGAGAGAACUCGGGUGAAGGAACUAGGCAAAAUGGUGCCGUAACUUCGGGAGAAGGCACGCUGACACGUAGGUGAAGUGAUUUACUCAUGGAGCUGAAGUCAGUCGAAGAUACCAGCUGGCUGCAACUGUUUAUUAAAAACACAGCACUGUGCAAACACGAAAGUGGACGUAUACGGUGUGACGCCUGCCCGGUGCCGGAAGGUUAAUUGAUGGGGUCAGCGCAAGCGAAGCUCCUGAUCGAAGCCCCGGUAAACGGCGGCCGUAACUAUAACGGUCCUAAGGUAGCGAAAUUCCUUGUCGGGUAAGUUCCGACCUGCACGAAUGGCGUAAUGAUGGCCAGGCUGUCUCCACCCGAGACUCAGUGAAAUUGAACUCGCUGUGAAGAUGCAGUGUACCCGCGGCAAGACGGAAAGACCCCGUGAACCUUUACUAUAGCUUGACACUGAACAUUGAGCCUUGAUGUGUAGGAUAGGUGGGAGGCUUUGAAGUGUGGACGCCAGUCUGCAUGGAGCCGACCUUGAAAUACCACCCUUUAAUGUUUGAUGUUCUAACGUGGACCCGUUACCCGGGUUGCGGACAGUGUCUGGUGGGUAGUUUGACUGGGGCGGUCUCCUCCUAAAGAGUAACGGAGGAGCACGAAGGUUGGCUAAUCCUGGUCGGACAUCAGGAGGUUAGUGCAAUGGCAUAAGCCAGCUUGACUGCGAGCGUGACGGCGCGAGCAGGUGCGAAAGCAGGUCAUAGUGAUCCGGUGGUUCUGAAUGGAAGGGCCAUCGCUCAACGGAUAAAAGGUACUCCGGGGAUAACAGGCUGAUACCGCCCAAGAGUUCAUAUCGACGGCGGUGUUUGGCACCUCGAUGUCGGCUCAUCACAUCCUGGGGCUGAAGUAGGUCCCAAGGGUAUGGCUGUUCGCCAUUUAAAGUGGUACGCGAGCUGGGUUUAGAACGUCGUGAGACAGUUCGGUCCCUAUCUGCCGUGGGCGCUGGAGAACUGAGGGGGGCUGCUCCUAGUACGAGAGGACCGGAGUGGACGCAUCACUGGUGUUCGGGUUGUCAUGCCAAUGGCACUGCCCGGUAGCUAAAUGCGGAAGAGAUAAGUGCUGAAAGCAUCUAAGCACGAAACUUGCCCCGAGAUGAGUUCUCCCUGAGACUUAAAGUCUCCUGAAGGAACGUUGAAGACGACGACGUUGAUAGGCCGGGUGUGUAAGCGCAGCGAUGCGUUGAGCUAACCGGUACUAAUGAACCGUGAGGCUUAACCUU
rnacentral:rRNA from 1 species